UGCGUUGGCCCGGUCCUUUCGGUCUCGGAUUCCUCAGCCCCCAGCCCCCCGAGGCGGUCGGGAUCGGGCCUUUCGCAGCAGCCAAAUCCCCAUACUGGACCAACGCGAGUUGGUCCUUUU
rnacentral:sRNA from 18 species